UCCCCUUCUUUUUUUUUUUAAAUUUAUUUAAAUUUAUUAUUUAUUUAUUUAUUUUGGCUGCACCGGGUCUCCUUUGUGGCGCGUGGGCUCUUCAUUGCGGCAUGCGGGCUUAGUUGUGGUAUGUGGGAUCUCAGUUCCCCUACCAGGGAUCGUACCCGGGCCCCCUGCAUUGGGAACUGGAGUCUUAAGCCGCUGGACCACUAGGGAAGUCCCCUCCCCUUUCUUCUUGAACAUUUUAUUUUUAAAUAAAAAUUAACAUUUUGGUAUCUUCACAGGAUUGGGUUUAUGCUACCAAGUCUAUAAGAGUGGCUGAGCUCCUGAACUUUUUAUAAUUGACCUGUGUGCAGGUCAUUGCUUCUUAUUUACCCUGCAGCAAGCAGCCUCCGGGCCAGGACUAGAGCCAGGCUGAAAAGGUGUUUGCUGUAAGAGAAGGGUGAUCUUAUCCUACGUCCUUCCUUGGAAGAGUAGGCCUCAGAGCAGGAAGUGUCCUCACAGCCCACUGAUGAGCAAGGCCAAACCAUUGUAUUAUUCACCAUUAUAGUAAAUGCAUACGAAGACCUCUUCUCCUUGCUGACGUCAGCUUUUCUUCACAUCAUUUUCAUGGGUUUGAGGUCCUUCUUGUAGAGAAGCACCUUCCUGAGGAUUAUAGUGGCUCAUGCCUUUUUUGUGCUUCACACCCAGAGAACCAGCUUUAAGUCUAGCCUCUCUUCCCUCUUUACCGUGUGGCCAGCAGACCUCUCUUUCCUCAGAAAAGCACAUAAGUGGGACCGUAUGGGGCCUGCGUAGGUGUUCAGCCGAGACAGUCAUUAUAGGCAUUCCUGAUCCAAGUAGGUAGAGCUGUGGCGCUCCACCCAGCAGGACCCAAGGCCGAGAGUGGGACAGCUUUGAGGAGGACCGUGAAGCCUGUCUCCAAAGCUAGGUUCAACCCCGAGUGUGGGGUGGUGGUGGAGGAACGGGAGGAGUGUGGAAGCUGGGAUGCUUGAGGGUUAAGGGUCUGAGGCUCUUUGGGGUCCGUGGGGGCACUCAGAGGGCAUCUCUUUGGCACAGGCUGUCAGCAUAGGUCACAGAUUCCCACGAGCUCACCCGUCA